rnacentral:sRNA from 1 species
UUUAAAAACAUGAGCCACCACUGCUUAGCUAUGCUUUUUCUAUAAUUAGAUUCUAUAUUCCAAAUUUUAUAGAAAGUCACUUUGUAACUUGAUGUAUACAAUGCAUACUUUAUACAUUUCAUACACCGGGUAAGAUUUGCCCAGUGGAAUCCAUCUGGGGUGUGUACCUCCCUUUCUAUGUACAGGCUCCGCUCCCACAGCAUCAGCAAAAUUAUCUCCAUGUCUCAAAAGUAUGCUAAAUAGUUCACCUGCACAUCUCUGAAUAAACUGGUUUUGCUGGUGCAAGCUUAUUUCAUAGAAACCACAUUUCUGAAGGAGCUAAAAACAACAACAGAAAAGAAUUAAGAACAUGCAAUGAGACAAGGUUGGGUGGCGGUCUCUGUCACUUUUCCUUUGAGCAUAACUCCUUUGAGCUGCCGUAGAUAUGGAAUUGCAAAAUGGAUUUCCCUCCUUGUUAAUAUAACCCAGGUUAAAGCCAAUACUGCUUUACAUCAGAAAAAUUUAAGGUAGAGCUUUGAUCUCCUUCCUAUUAAAAUAAAGUAAUGCAUUAUACUGACCUCAAAAAAGUAGUCUUAAUUAGGGGCCUUGAAUAAGAUAAUUGACCUUGACAUUGCCUUCAGCUCAGGGCAUGAAGCUGUUAUCAAAACGACUUAUUGGGAAGCAAGACAUGCUGCCAUAAGGACUAUUUAUUUAAUAAUUCUGCAUUUUAGUAUUUCAAGCUUCCAGGGUCUUCACUGUCUCUAGUAUGACCAGAAAAAUACUACAUCAUAUGGGAGUGGAAUCUAUGCUGAAAAUAUGCUUAGCUUUGAAGUACAAUCUUUGUUUCAAUGCAACCUAGACUGUUUGCUUCUUACUACAAAUGCUUGGUCAUGGAGUAUUGCUUCUGUGUGCUACUCCUGAUGCUAUGCAACUUCAGGAUCAAACAGAAAACCUGGAGAUGGGUGCAGAGUGAACACUGGCCCAGAAGUCAAAGGGUUUCAUUCUUGCCGCUCAUUACAAUGGUAGUCAGUUGUGGUCGUAGACAAAUAUUACAUUUGAUCAUAUCUAAAUUCCUGGAAACUUUGUUGCCUGGUAAGAGUAUACUGGGGUCUUGGUCUGCUCUUUGUUUCUUGUCUGCUAUAACGUGAGCUGCUCCUUGAUGCCCUCCCACAUAGAGGGAAUGAACUCUCUAAAACCAUACGCCCAAAUCAAUCUUUUAAAAAUUGUUCCCUUAGGAAUUUUGGCCUCAGUCAUGGUAUAAACGAGACAAUUUGGCCUGCCCCCCCACUCCCCAGUUGUAUCUGCAGUAUCUCAGGGCUGUAAAGUCGAGGGUUCACUCUCCUAAUGUGGAAUUUCUAGAAGAAUUCAAGGCUUAGAUGUUUUAGAGCACUAGUCAAGAAUGAUUUUUGCCCUCUGGGGUAGAGCACAUUACAGAAACAUGAAGCUUAGUCUUGGCACAGACGAUAGUUCUGUGGGAAAGACAGGGAGAAAGCUCAAGUUUUGGGUAUGUGUCAAGGGAAAGAUGUUUAGUGUUAAUGAGACAACCGACUAAACACAGAGCUGGGGUCCUGAAGGUCUGCAAAAGAAAUUCUUACCUUUAAGAAUUGGUGGGCAUGGCUACAAAGAUAGCUGAGAGAAUAAGGGCACAUUCUACUUUUAAGGAGGACCCAAGUUAGGCUCCCAAAGCCCACAUUAAGUGCCUCUGGAACACCUUUGUCUCUAGCUCCGGGGGCUCUGAUGCCUCUGAUUUCUUCAGGCACCUGAACUCAAAUGCACACAAAGACACACACACACACACAUACUUAAAAAAAUACAUCUAGUAAAUGUAAGAAUCCAUAGGCAAAGGGGAAAAAUGAAAGGAGGUGACACACGGUUUGUACUGUCAGGUCAAGGUGAGGCUUGGUAAGAUGGUUUGUGACUCAUCCCAGGAGGCCGCGUUCUACUCUUCAUCCUUUCUAAACUAAGUCUAUCAACAGUCAUCAAGCUGGAACACACCCCGUUUCGCCAAAUCUGUGCCUUCUAAGAAGUCAUGUUUUCUCUUCCCAUCUGUCAGUAUCUUUUCCUUAGGGGUCAAAUCUCUACCGUUGUUCUGCUGCAAAUCUUUCCUGAUCCAUGUGUUCUCUACUGACAAUAGAUGGAAGUCGAUACCAGAUACUUCGUGCAUUGCUAAGACAGGUAAAGAUGUGCCCACUGGGUCUUUAUCUCCGGCUGCCUUUCAUUUCACUGCAUUCCGUCUGGCACAUCCUGUUCUGAAACAAAGAGAUACCAGGUAAACCUCUGAAUAGCCAAAAGAGAAACAUCCACAGAAAUUAAUGAGGGAACCAACAAGACCUCUACCCAGGAAAUAUGACUUCCUCUGAGCUCCAAGAGCAAGAGAGAAUUUGACAGAAAGUUAAAAAAAAAAUUAGGCAGAGAGAGAGUGGACUUGGUGUGUAUGGAGAAGAAUAUACGAGUCCAAGAAGAAGUCACAUUGGUCCCUUCGUGGCCUGUCCUACCAGCCUGCUUUGCUGAAGGACUUUGAUACCCCAACCACAAUGAACCUGAGAAAAUGGACAGCAUUGUUGGGAGCUUGUGAGCUCCUGUCACAGUACCGAGCUUGAACAAUGUCGAUUAAAGCCCCAUGCUUGAGACUGUCAUUAGACCCGCAUUAAAUUACAUAUCUGGAGUGUUAAAACAUAAAGAGUACAGUGGCUUUUUCGCAGCUACCUAAGCUCUCACUCAGGUGAACUGAGCAGGCUUGGCAUUUCUGAGGACUUCUAAUUCCCUGGGCUGUGGAUAAAGUGGGCACUUACUUUUCCAUCAACCACCCCUUCUCCCAGACUCCAAGAAAGAAAGAAUAAAAGAAAAUCUAAGUACCUUCAAACCAAAGCAAGGUGCAAACACUCGUACUAGACCGCUUGGCUCCAAGAAACAGAGAACUCAAAGCACCUCCUAUGUUUUCAAAGAAACUUCUAGUUCUUGGCAGAAAAGUGAACUGACCAGGUGAGGGAAAAGUAUGUCCAUGCUUUCAAGAGGAUCGCUGGAGAAAGGACUGUCUUGCUCGCAGACCACUCCCAUAUCUGUACCUGCUCCCAGCACCCACCUCUCUCCCUGCUAUUUCUUAUCUGUCAGCAUCGCUGCUCUAAGGACACUGGACGUGGACCUCAGGACAGCCCUUUGAAGCCUACAUCCAGAGACCUAUGCCCAAUAUUCACAUACUGGCGGCACAGGCAUCAUCAUCCAGAGGUUCCACUGAGAUCAGGAAAGAGAGGACAACCUGAUGGGAUCAUUCCAAAAUGUCGGCUAGCAAGGAAGCAGAACAUAUUGGGGACAAGCGACGACCACGGGGCAAAACUGGAAGUUCUUGAAUUUGCCAUUAAAAUAUCGGCUCUGAGGACAAGAUACCGAAAGACAUCCUCUCAGUUGAUGGGGGACAGCCACCGUUGAGAAAGUAGAUGAUCACUUUCUUCCUGACAUUCUGGCCUCUGGCCAUGAAUAUUGAAAGCUGUUAUCCUCUGGGGCUACUCAUUUCCUUCUCCAAGAGGCUUUAAUGCUUACGACAUAUAAACUGCUUACCAACAGUCAUAGAGCAGCGGUAGCAUGGGUGAGAGAGCAUCUCUGUGGUAAGAUGUUUAGCCCUUUGUGUACAUGCACGAGAGCUAUAUUGCUGGAUCUCUCAGUAGAAAGAUUUCCAGUUUUCUGGGGGAAAUGUUACAGUAUUUUCUACAGUGGCUUUGCAAGAAGGGACGAUAGAUCUCAACAAGUCACCUUGUUCCCACCUUGCAUGUCCAUCACGUUGACCUUGGUACAGGCUGGACAGAGAUGAGCUCAGUGCUGGAAUAAUUUUUUUCCACUGGAGAACUUCUACUAACUUUUUGUUUGUUACUUGUUUUUUUUUUUCUAAAUGUGCAUGGGGCACAUAGUUUAUUUUUUGCUUCAGGCUGAAAUGUGACCUGGCAUUACCCAGAAGAUGGGUCUUGUUUUGGAAACGAAGACUCUGCCUUCCAGACAAGUUGCCACAGAUGAAUUAUGACCAGCUACCCAAGCUUCUGGCCCCAUCACUUCUUCACUUUGAUCGAUUGUAUUAGUGAACUGUGAACCAAAAUAAAUCCUUCUCCAGGAGUACUUUAAUCAGAGUAUUUUAUCACAGCAACAGGAAAAGUGACCACAACAGAAAAAUUGGAAGCAGGCUUACGUCUGUUACAGACAUGAUCAUGUGGUUCUUCCUUUAAGAGAUGGAGUUUAGAGUAUCUCUAAUUUACUGUGGUUUUAAGGAAGGAUAACCCAGAGACACAUCAUCUCCUUAAGAAGGCCUUCAUGCAGCAUCACUGAAGUUAGUGUCCUCCAUUUGGAAGAAGUGUUUGAUGAGACACAGUAUCAAAAAGAAAAUGUUGUUUACCCACAAAAAGAAUUGAAAGGGCUUCAAAGAAUAAAAGCUAAAGGCAGUGUCGAUUGCAAUAGCAGCACUGAGAAAAACAAUAGCUCAAUUCCAUCUGGGUGGCUUACGGAGCCUUAGGACCCUCACUGGAUCAAUACAUAUCUUGGUUCAGAGAUCUACAUUUCUUUGUACAUUUACAAAUUCAGGAAUGUUCCGGUUCUCCAAUAUUUUCUUUAUUUCAUUAUAACCAACCUCUGUCCUUGUAGAACUCACUUUUCAAGGAAUUGAUUCCAGUCUCAGCUUCAAUUUGCUGACUUUCACAUACCACCCAAAUGUUUCUUAAUUUUUUAUUUCUAAAUACAACUGUGCUGGAGAAGAAAUUACUCAUCUACAUAACAUUUCUUUUGCCAA